rnacentral:rRNA from 1 species
UACGGGGGGGGCAAGCGUUGUUCAGAAUUACUGGGCGUAAAGGGCGCGUAGGCGGCCUUCUAAGUCGGACGUGAAAUCCCUCGGCUUAACCGAGGAACUGCGUCCGAUACUGAAAGGCUUGAAUCCGGGAGAGGGAUGUGGAAUUCCAGGUGUAGCGGUGAAAUGCGUAGAUAUCUGGAGGAACACCGGUGGCGAAGGCGGCAUCCUGGACCGGUAUUGACGCUGAGGCGCGAAAGCGUGGGGAGCAAACAGG